AGUGAACGCUGGCGGUAGGCCUAACACAUGCAAGUCGAACGGCAGCACAGGAGAGCUUGCUCUCUGGGUGGCGAGUGGCGGACGGGUGAGGAAUACAUCGGAAUCUACUUUUUCGUGGGGGAUAACGUAGGGAAACUUACGCUAAUACCGCAUACGACCUACGGGUGAAAGCAGGGGAUCUUCGGACCUUGCGCGAUUGAAUGAGCCGAUGUCGGAUUAGCUAGUUGGCGGGGUAAAGGCCCACCAAGGCGACGAUCCGUAGCUGGUCUGAGAGGAUGAGCAGCCACACUGGAACUGAGACACGGUCCAGAAGCCUACGGGAGUCAGCAGUGGGGAAUAUUGGACCAUGGGCGCAAGCCUGAUCCAGCCAUACCGCGUGGGUGAAGAAGGCCUUCGGGUUGUAAAGCCCUUUUGUUGGGAAAGAAAUCCAGCUGGCUAAUACCCGGUUGGGAUGACGGUACCCAGAGAAUAAGCACCGGCUAACUUCGUGCCAGCCGCCGCAGUAA
rnacentral:rRNA from 1 species